rnacentral:rRNA from 1 species
CGGCAAGCCUGAUCCAGCCAUGCCGCGUGAGUGAUGAAGGCCUUAGGGUUGUAAAGCUCUUUCACCGGAGAAGAUAAUGACGGUAUCCGGAGAAGAAGCCCCGGCUAACUUCGUGCCAGCAGCCGCGGUAAUACGAAGGGGGCUAGCGUUGUUCGGAAUUACUGGGCGUAAAGCGCACGUAGGCGGACAUUUAAGUCAGGGGUGAAAUCCCAGAGCUCAACUCUGGAACUGCCUUUGAUACUGGGUGUCUAGAGUAUGGAAGAGGUGAGUGGAAUUCCGAGUGUAGAGGUGAAAUUCGUAGAUAUUCGGAGGAACACCAGUGGCGAAGGCGGCUCACUGGUCCAUUACUGACGCUGAGGUGCGAAAGCGUGAGGAGCAAACAGGAUUAGAUACCCUGGUAGUCCACGCCGUAAACGAUGAAUGUUAGCCGUCGGGCAGUUUACUGUUCGGUGGCGCAGCUAACGCAUUAAACAUUCCGCCUGGGGAGUACGGUCGCAAGAUUA